AGCGUACACGGUGGAUGCCCUGGCAGUCAGAGGCGAUGAAGGACGUGCUAAUCUGCGAUAAGCGUCGGUAAGGUGAUAUGAACCGUUAUAACCGGCGAUUUCCGAAUGGGGAAACCCAGUGUGUUUCGACACACUAUCAUUAACUGAAUCCAUAGGUUAAUGAGGCGAACCGGGGGAACUGAAACAUCUAAGUACCCCGAGGAAAAGAAAUCAACCGAGAUUCCCCCAGUAGCGGCGAGCGAACGGGGAGCAGCCCAGAGCCUGAAUCAGUGUGUGUGUUAGUGGAAGCGUCUGGAAAGGCGCGCGAUACAGGGUGACAGCCCCGUACACAAAAAUGCACAUGCUGUGAGCUCGAUGAGUAGGGCGGGACACGUGGUAUCCUGUCUGAAUAUGGGGGGACCAUCCUCCAAGGCUAAAUACUCCUGACUGACCGAUAGUGAACCAGUACCGUGAGGGAAAGGCGAAAAGAACCCCGGCGAGGGGAGUGAAAAAGAACCUGAAACCGUGUACGUACAAGCAGUGGGAGCACGCUUCGGCGUGUGACUGCGUACCUUUUGUAUAAUGGGUCAGCGACUUAUAUUCUGUAGCAAGGUUAACCGAAUAGGGGAGCCGAAGGGAAACCGAGUCUUAACUGGGCGUUAAGUUGCAGGGUAUAGACCCGAAACCCGGUGAUCUAGCCAUGGGCAGGUUGAAGGUUGGGUAACACUAACUGGAGGACCGAACCGACUAAUGUUGAAAAAUUAGCGGAUGACUUGUGGCUGGGGGUGAAAGGCCAAUCAAACCGGGAGAUAGCUGGUUCUCCCCGAAAGCUAUUUAGGUAGCGCCUCGUGAAUUCAUCUCCGGGGGUAGAGCACUGUUUCGGCAAGGGGGUCAUCCCGACUUACCAACCCGAUGCAAACUGCGAAUACCGGAGAAUGUUAUCACGGGAGACACACGGCGGGUGCUAACGUCCGUCGUGAAGAGGGAAACAACCCAGACCGCCAGCUAAGGUCCCAAAGUCAUGGUUAAGUGGGAAACGAUGUGGGAAGGCCCAGACAGCCAGGAUGUUGGCUUAGAAGCAGCCAUCAUUUAAAGAAAGCGUAAUAGCUCACUGGUCGAGUCGGCCUGCGCGGAAGAUGUAACGGGGCUAAACCAUGCACCGAAGCUGCGGCAGCGACGCUUAUGCGUUGUUGGGUAGGGGAGCGUUCUGUAAGCCUGUGAAGGUGUGCUGUGAGGCAUGCUGGAGGUAUCAGAAGUGCGAAUGCUGACAUAAGUAACGAUAAAGCGGGUGAAAAGCCCGCUCGCCGGAAGACCAAGGGUUCCUGUCCAACGUUAAUCGGGGCAGGGUGAGUCGACCCCUAAGGCGAGGCCGAAAGGCGUAGUCGAUGGGAAACAGGUUAAUAUUCCUGUACUUGGUGUUACUGCGAAGGGGGGACGGAGAAGGCUAUGUUGGCCGGGCGACGGUUGUCCCGGUUUAAGCGUGUAGGCUGGUUUUCCAGGCAAAUCCGGAAAAUCAAGGCUGAGGCGUGAUGACGAGGCACUACGGUGCUGAAGCAACAAAUGCCCUGCUUCCAGGAAAAGCCUCUAAGCAUCAGGUAACAUCAAAUCGUACCCCAAACCGACACAGGUGGUCAGGUAGAGAAUACCAAGGCGCUUGAGAGAACUCGGGUGAAGGAACUAGGCAAAAUGGUGCCGUAACUUCGGGAGAAGGCACGCUGAUAUGUAGGUGAAGUCCCUCGCGGAUGGAGCUGAAAUCAGUCGAAGAUACCAGCUGGCUGCAACUGUUUAUUAAAAACACAGCACUGUGCAAACACGAAAGUGGACGUAUACGGUGUGACGCCUGCCCGGUGCCGGAAGGUUAAUUGAUGGGGUCAGCGCAAGCGAAGCUCUUGAUCGAAGCCCCGGUAAACGGCGGCCGUAACUAUAACGGUCCUAAGGUAGCGAAAUUCCUUGUCGGGUAAGUUCCGACCUGCACGAAUGGCGUAAUGAUGGCCAGGCUGUCUCCACCCGAGACUCAGUGAAAUUGAACUCGCUGUGAAGAUGCAGUGUACCCGCGGCAAGACGGAAAGACCCCGUGAACCUUUACUAUAGCUUGACACUGAACAUUGAGCCUUGAUGUGUAGGAUAGGUGGGAGGCUUUGAAGUGUGGACGCCAGUCUGCAUGGAGCCGACCUUGAAAUACCACCCUUUAAUGUUUGAUGUUCUAACGUUGACCCGUAAUCCGGGUUGCGGACAGUGUCUGGUGGGUAGUUUGACUGGGGCGGUCUCCUCCUAAAGAGUAACGGAGGAGCACGAAGGUUGGCUAAUCCUGGUCGGACAUCAGGAGGUUAGUGCAAUGGCAUAAGCCAGCUUGACUGCGAGCGUGACGGCGCGAGCAGGUGCGAAAGCAGGUCAUAGUGAUCCGGUGGUUCUGAAUGGAAGGGCCAUCGCUCAACGGAUAAAAGGUACUCCGGGGAUAACAGGCUGAUACCGCCCAAGAGUUCAUAUCGACGGCGGUGUUUGGCACCUCGAUGUCGGCUCAUC
rnacentral:rRNA from 1 species